CUAAAAUCUUUUAAAAAAAGAAAAAAAAAAAAGCUAAAGAGCCAGAAGAACUCUAUUCAUGCAAAGGUGAUCCCAACUCUAGCUCUACAAUUUGCUCCCCUAGGUUUCCCUCUACCCUUCUUCUUUUCCUGGACAGAUUACGGUGAAAGAAUUGGCAGGAAUGGAGGAGUCUAGAAUUCUGAAGGUCAGUGCCACCUGGGCUCUUGGGCUUGCCCAAAGCAAUGUUUUCCUCGGAGUCAAGAAAACAUGACAAUUGAAGGGGAAGGAGAAGGGUCUCCAGGUAAUAAAGAAAUCGAUUUAGAAAAUGUCAUUAGGCAAGUGGUGCCUAUAACUGCUAGACUGUCUGCUGCUUGACCAUUUCCUCUGGCCCUUCAUACCUCCCUAGUGUAGGAGGUAAAAGAGACCAGUGUGUUGGCAGUAAAGCUGUUAUAGCAGCACCUGGGAGCGCUACUGUAAUUACGGGUCUCCUAGCGCUUUCCUGCAAUUCCAGUUUUCAGAUGUUUAGAACUACGUUGUAAACUCUUCAUCCACACUGAAACUUAGCACCUUCGCCUGAAGCCCAGAGAUUUAAUUGUUAAGAACACCACCACCUUUUGACUGGAGGGGAAAGAAAAAUAGGACUGAACAUUUCUGGAGCUUGGAGCAUAUUCUCCCCCAUCAUUUUGCUUUUCUAAAAUGUAAAACUUUUACACAGUAGUCUUUAUUUAUUUACUUAUUUUUGGCAUGGUGGUCUUUUUGUAUACUUGGCAGAUUUAAAAAACAAUAUGAAACAGUUAAUAUUUUAAAAAGGCAUUUUUAAACGACUGAUUGAUGAACGUUGAACAUUUCUAAAAACUCCAUUAAAUUAUAAAAUAGGUUUUACUAUCGGCCACAAGGAACACAGGAGACAUUUAUUAGCUCUUUACUGGUUGUGUAACUUAGGAAAUUUACAUAACCUCCGUGCUUCAUUUUACUUUCCGAAAAGCAGGGAUCAUAAUAAAACCUCCCUCGCCAUGGCAGCCGUGAGGUACACCACUCAGAUCUCCCUGCAGGAAGGAACUUGCUGGUCAGCUCUGAGGAGUGCUUUUAGCUCUUAGAACCUUCAGGAGCCACUUCUGAUUUUGAGGCGAGAUCAUGAUCUUCCUAAGUAACCCCCCGGCCAGUGACUGAGCUCAGUGGCGUAUGGACAUUGUCGUUUCAGCCCAGGAUGAGACUCCUCCAGUGGGCCAGUGUUGCUCCAGAGUUCCGGAUGGCCAAGGCUCCGUCAGACCACAGCGAGGUCUCAGUGAGGCUCUCCCCGUCCAACCUGACGUUUAACAGAUGUCAAAUCUGCAGUGUGGUCUGAAGACUGCCUGCCCAAUCCUAAUUUUUCCACCUUUUAUCUUCCACAGGCAUUGUCCCCCAGUAAAGCUCCAUCUGCUUCUGAGAGGAUCCAGCUGACACAGUCAUACUGGUUGUAAACUUGAAGUGGGAUUGUACAUAACGACUGGUACAUGAUGCCUGGCACAGAGAUAUUGCAAACAUGGUGAAGGGUGACUUCUGAGGCUAGGUCACAAAAGUCAUCGUGGCCUCUUUUUUCCCUCCCUGUGGGAUCACGCACACUGGCAGCAGAAAGCUGACAUGUUGUGAAGACACUUUAGCAUCUCCAUGGAGAGAUCCUUGUGGUAAAGAAUUGAGGCACCUGCCAACUGCUACGUGAAUGAAUUGUCCUGGGAGCAGAUCUUUCAGCCUCAGUCAAGCCUUCAGAUGACUGUAGCCCUGGCCAACAGCUUGAAAAACUCUGAGCCAGAACCAUCUAGCCCAAGCUGCUCCCAGAUUCCUGACCUGCGGAACUUAGAGAGUGAUAGCGAGAGCAGGAACACAAGCAGGGGGAGUGG